rnacentral:rRNA from 1 species
CAACGCUUAAAAGAUGGCUUCUCGCUAUCACUUCUGGAUGGACCUGCGGUGCAUUAGCUUGUUGGUGGGGUAACGGCCUACCAAGGCGAUGAUGCAUAGCCGAGUUGAGAGACUGAUCGGCCACAAUGGGACUGAGACACGGCCCAUACUCCUACGGGAGGCAGCAGUAGGGAAUCUUCCACAAUGGGCGCAAGCCUGAUGGAGCAACACCGCGUGAGUGAAGAAGGGUUUCGGCUCGUAAAGCUCUGUUGUUAAAGAAGAACACGUAUGAGAGUAACUGUUCAUACGUUGACG